AUGAAUGUUGUAAUGAUGAGGAGAUUGUUGUCCUCAAAGACCACAUGGAGUUGGCGUGUCCUCUUUAGUAUAGUAGAGUCUAACUGGAGCUGGAACAUCUCUAGAUGUCUCAGGAUCCUCACAGAGUCGGCCUCAUCUCCGUGGAGGUCCAGGUCCAGCUAUCAGAUUCAGAUGCCGCCCAAAACCAAAGCAGCCAGUAAAGCCAGAGCGCCGGCGAAGAGGAAGCUGGCUGAGGAGUUUCCCCCAGGAGAGGUUCUGACCGACACGGCGAAAAAAAGCUGGAAGCUCGGGAAGCCCGUUGGUCAGGGAGGCUUUGGCCUGUUGUAUCUGGCAAGCGACGAUACAUCAAAUGCUGUCAGAGACGACGCGCCUUACGUCAUCAAAGUGGAGCCAAGCGACAACGGCCCUCUCUUCUCCGAGCUGAAGUUUUACAUGCGAGCCGCCAAACCCGAUCUAAUCGGCACUUGGAUAAAGUCACGGAAACUGAAAUACUUAGGGGUGCCAAAAUAUUGGGGCUCUGGACUUCACGAGAACGGAGGAAAGAGGUACAGGUUCAUGGUCAUGGACCGAUUCGGGACGGAUCUACAGAAGAAGUUCGAGGAAAGCGGCAAGAGAUUUCCACGGAAGUUGGUUCUUCAGCUGGGCCUCAGACUUCUCGACAUCCUCGAGUACGUCCACGAGCAUGAAUACGUCCACGCCGACAUUAAAGCCUCCAACCUGCUGCUUUCCCAUAAGAACCCCAACCAGGUUUACUUGGUGGAUUACGGACUGGCCUACAGAUUCUCACCGGAAGGUGUGCCAAAGGAAUACAAAGAGGACCCUAAGAGAUGCCAUGACGGGACCAUCGAGUUCACCAGCAUCGAUGCACAUCAUGGCGUUUCUCCCUCCAGAAGAGGCGACCUGGAAAUCUUGGGUUACUGCAUGAUCCAGUGGCUGUGCAGCCGCCUGCCCUGGGAGGAUAAACUCCAGGACCCGGUUUACGUCAGAGACUCCAAAAUACGAUGUCGCAACAAUGUCAGAGAGUUCAUGAAGAGCUGUUUCACCGCAGGACACGACCCAGGCGUCAGAGGAGUCGUUUGCUCACCGGAUGAUGCGCUGGCACUUCUGAAGCUCGGUGACAGGCACACAGCAGAAGGAGAGAUCCCUCCUCGGGCUGUUGUCUUGCUCGCACACGUCUCGUCCCAACGCCGAGGUGACGGGAGGCGGCGCGCUUAGCGAGGCCAUCAUGGCUAAUUCUGUUUGGUGUGACAAUUUGAGCAGCCGACGAUAAACAACAGUUUGCGAACAGCGAAGUCUAAGAAACAGCGUGUGAUGUUUUGUCGCCCUCUUCUUCCACUAAACUUAGCCUGAAGGUCAGAGUGCCACGCGCCUGCUGCGAGGAGACUCCAGCUCAGGAAGCGCCCUCGAUUCCCAGCGCAGUGUUAAACACACUCCUUCCUCUUUUAUCGGCUUGUGAAAUGGAAAUUGCUCUUUACACAGAGGCGGGCAAAAGUUCUGCUUUCUGCCAGUCAUGCAGUCCGUACGAAUCUAUUAGUGGUUCACUGAUGCAGAACAACACACAGGAGUGCAGGAUAAUACAUGCGGUGUGGGAAAGUCAUCUCUGAUGGACUGACACUGGAGACUCCUUCUGAAACAGGAAAUGAUAAAGUUCAUGGAGGAGGUGAAGACGCUGGGAUACACGGACAAACCCGACUACGCGAAGCUACGCAGCAUUUUGCAGCACGGACUGAAAAGCAUCGGCGCCACAGACGACGACAGGCUGGACUUUGCAGCGUCC